rnacentral:tRNA from 1 species
GCCUUCGGGGGUGUAGUGGUCAGCAUGCUCGGCGUGUAUUCGAGAGGUCCGUGGUUCGAGUCCUGGCGAGGGUA